AAGUCGACACGAUUGAUGCUCUACUGAUGGUGUUCUCCGUGGUGGAGUUCAUUGUCUCAAUCCUUGGUGUCAUCAGUACCUGCAGACUUGUCUUCAACGCUGCACACGUGCCAUACACUGAGAUCGAACAACCACUAACAGUAGUUACGGCUCAGCCCCGGGGUUCGGCGUUCGACAACAUUCCUGCUGGCCAGCCACGAUUCGUUGAUGAUGCUUCCCAUCCACUCGUGAUUUCAAAAUUCUGAACGCCUACUAUUUUGGAUAUUUAGAAUGUUUCUGAUCGCUCAAGAUAACAAAGAAGUUGAAUGGCUUACCGGAUCAUUUCUUCUAUAGCCAGUGUUCUAUGUAAACGUCCAAGUGGUUAUUAUAAUACGUGGCAUUGUUUCUUUGGAACUGAUGAAUAUAAUAUCAUUAAUAACUUAUUAAACGUAUAAAGAUGUUUCAUUGAACAAGGUGACCAUCUAGAUUGGACAGCGCCCUCAAAAGUUUGGACAGCUUACAUUGAUGUGUCACACAAUAAUCUGCGAAUAUUUAUGUUAUUGGCUUUUGGGGCCAUCGCAGAAAAAAUCUACUGUUCUUUGUUUUCUACCUUUGUAUUGUAAUGUGCAGAAAUUGAUUUAAAUUGAAUCUUUUUUUUAAUAAUUCAAAAAAAAAAUCGUCAAUGUAGGCUUACAAAUUGCAAGAUUUUCUUAUAUAAACGAGAUUCGUUUAGGCCUAUAUCUGACGAAGAAUGAUCUCAAGUGACAAAAUUUCAUCUCAAUAUUUGGGGAUUUAUUUUAUUAAGCGGACACAUAACAAAUCGUGUACAAAACAAAGAAUUGCAGUUUCUAAAAGGUUGUUAUACAGGGUGAG